AGUGAACGCUGGCGGUAGGCCUAACACAUGCAAGUCGAACGGCAGCACAGUAAGAGCUUGCUCUUACGGGUGGCGAGUGGCGGACGGGUGAGGAAUACAUCGGAAUCUACUUUUUCGUGGGGGAUAACGUAGGGAAACUUACGCUAAUACCGCAUACGACCUACGGGUGAAAGCAGUGGAUCUUCGGACCUUGCGCGAUUGAAUGAGCCGAUGUCGGAUUAGCUAGUUGGCGGGGUAAAGGCCCACCCAGGCGACGAUCCGUAGCUGGUCUGAGAGGAUGAUAAGCCACACUGGAAGUGGAACACGGUCCAGACUCCUACGGGAGGCAGCAGUGGGGAAUAUUGGACAAUGGGCGCAAGCAUGAUACAGCCAUACCGCGUGGGUGAAGAGGGCCUUCGGGUUGUAAAGCCCUUUUGUUGGGAAAGAAAAGCAGCAGGUUAAUACCCCGCUGUUCUGACGGUACCCAAAGAAUAAGCACCGGCUAACUUCGUG
rnacentral:rRNA from 1 species